GUCGUCUCUAGCUCAGUUGGUUAGAGCAUGGUGCUGAUAAUACCAAGGUCACAGGUUUGAUCCCUGUAUGGGACA